GAAAAAUUAGUUUAAGUUAAAAUAUUAAUUUGUCAAAUUAAAGAUAUAUUAUUUUUUA
rnacentral:tRNA from 1 species